rnacentral:rRNA from 1 species
GACAGAGGCCUCAAGCGUUAGGCGGAAUCACUGGGCUUAAAGCGUGUGUAGGCGGACUUCUAAGUGCCUUGUGAAAUCCCACGGCUCAACCGUGGAACUGCUGGGCAUACUGGGAGUCUUGGGCCAUUCAGGGGCAACUGGAACAAGCGGUGGAGCGGUGAAAUGCGUAGAGAUCAGGAAGAACAUCGGUGGCGAAGGCGCUCUGCUGGACCAUAACUGACACUCAGGGACGAAAGCUAGGGGAGCGAAUGGG